UACGUAGGGCGCAAGCGUUGUCCGGAAUUAUUGGGCGUAAAGAGCUCGUAGGCGGCUUGUCACGUCGAUUGUGAAAGCCCGAGGCUUAACUUCGGGUCUGCAGUCGAUACGGGGCUAGCUAGAGUGUGGUAGGGGGAGAUCGGAAUUCCUGGUGUAGCGGUGAAAUGCGCAGAUAUCAGGAGGAACACCGGUGGCGAAGGCGGAUCUCUGGGCCAUUACUGACGCUGAGGAGCGAAAGCGUGGGGAGCGAACAGG
rnacentral:rRNA from 1 species